GACGAACGCUGGCGGCGUGCUUAACACAUGCAAGUCGAACGGAAAGGCCCUGCUUUUGUGGGGUGCUCGAGUGGCGAACGGGUGAGUAACACGUGAGUAACCUGCCCUUGACUUUGGGAUAACUUCAGGAAACUGGGGCUAAUACCGGAUAGGAGCUCCUGCUGCAUGGUGGGGGUUGGAAAGUUUCGGCGGUUCGGGAUGGACUCGCGGCUUAUCAGCUUGUUGGUGGGGUAGUGGCUUACCAAGGCUUUGACGGGUAGCCGGCCUGAGAGGGUGACCGGCGACAUUGGGACUGAGAUACGGCCCAGACUCCUACGGGAGGCAGCAGUGGGGAAUAUUGCACAAUGGGCGGAAGCCUGAUGCAGCAACGCCGCGUGCGGGAUGACGGCCUUCGGGUUGUAAACCGCUUUCGCCUGUGACGAAGCGUGAGUGACGGUAAUGGGUAAAGAAGCACCGGCUAACUACGUG
rnacentral:rRNA from 1 species